AGGGCUUUGAGCGGAAGCUGUCGACCUUGCACGGUGAUGGCGCUCCUCGUGAUCCCUUGUAUCCCCUCAGGCUCGAGCCAGGAGCCUAGGUCCACUUUGAAAAGUAGUAAAAGGCAGAAAGGUUCUGCGGUGUGAGGGGGAGGGCGGCUUCGUGGUCGGCUGGGUCGGGGGAGCGCCGGGCGGCCGCGGCGUGGCUGUGUCCGGGGCUGCCCUGCGCAGCCGGCCGUUUCGCCGCCUGGUGCACUUGCUGAGCUUCCGGCCUGGCCCGUCGCGGGGCUCCUGGCGCCCCCCUAGACGACUGUGUGGAGAAUGGAGCCUGCGGAGCCACGCGUAGAGAGAGGCCCGGAGCCGGCGCGGUGGCGGCGGGCGCCAGUGGUCCCAGCCACUCGGGAGGCCGAGGUGGAGUGUCGCUUGAGCCCAGGAGUUCCAGACAGGCCUGAGCAACAGAGCCAGACCCCGUCUCCACAAAGAAAGAAACAAAUGGGCCAGAGACCCAGAAUGCUUUCUGUAGCCUAACCUAAUGUUCAAAACCAGGGCAGACCCAAGCCAUGGAAAGCUUGAGGGAAUAAAAUAAUAUUCUGCUGCGGCCAAGAAUAACAAUGCUAAUUCCUGGAUAAGGGGAUUUAAAAUGAUGUUUAACAACUUCUGGUCUUUUAAUAUUGACCCAAGUUUAAAAACAUGUUCAUAUAAAAAAGUUACUGGAAGAAAUUUAUAAAUGUAACUGGUGGUUAUUUUUAGAUGACAGAAUUAAAAGUGAUCUUUUUGGUAUUUUUUCCACAACGAGCACGUGUCAUUUUUAUGUUAAUUUCAUUUUAUGCGAAAUGCUCCAGCGCAGUACAGGCUAGUGGGUUCAGGGUGGCUGUGACUAAGUAAUGUAGAUGGGGUACCUUAGACAAAGUUUCCAGACUAGAGGCUGGAAGUAAGAGGUCCGGGUGCCCUUUUCCACACUGCAGACCACGGACUUUUCCGGUUUCUGAACAAGUGAGACAGGCCGGCUAAGGACAUUUAUAAUCUCCAUGGGUGAGGGCCCCACCCUCAUGACCAUCUAAUCUUGAUUACCUCCCGAAGGCCCCACCUCCUAACUUCCUAAUACAAUCACUUCUUGGGGGAAGAGGGUGUUUGGAAUUCCACCCCCCGCCCUUUUUUUUUUUUGGAGACAGUCUCACUCUGCUGCUCAGGCUGGAGUGCAGUGGUGUGAUCUUGGCUCACUGCGACCUCCCCCUCCCAGGUUCAAGCCAUUCUGCCUCAGCCUCCAGAGCAGCUGGGAUUACAGGCCCAGCUAGUUUUUGUAUUUUUAGUAGAAACGGGUUUUCAUCAUUUUGGCCAGGCUGGUCUCGAACUCCUGACCUCAAGUGAACUGCCCGCCUUGGCCUCGCAAAGUGCUGGGAUCGUCAGAGGCAAGUGAACCAGAGCACCUUCAUCUUAAACAGGAGCUGGUGGACUCACCCUGAAUUCUUUCUUGCACGAGAUCCAAGAAUUCUCCCUUGGGAUCUGGACUGGACCCCUUUCCUGUAACAGAAUUACAGUUUUUGAGAUGGAGUUUCACUCUUCUUGCCCAGGCUGGAGUGCAAUGGUGCAAUCUCGGCUCACCGCAACCUCUGCCUCUCAGGUUCAAGCAAUUCUCCUGCCUCAGCCUCCCGACUAGCUGGGAUUACAGGUAUGUGCCACCACGCCCAGCUAAUUUUGUAUUUUUAGUAGAGAUGGGAUUUUUCCAUGUUGGUAAGGCUGAUGUUGAACUCCCAACCUCAGGUGAUGCUGCCCUCCUUGGCCUUCCAAAGUGCUGGGAUUAUAGGCGUGAGCCACUGCGCCCGGCACGAUUCCAUUUUGAUAUCAAAUACCUAGUGAAGAAUCACUCAGAUUACAAUUGCUUUUUUUUUUUUUUUUUUUUUGAGAUGGAGUCUCGCACUGUUGCCUGGGCUGGAGUGCAAUGGUGGGAUCUCAGCUCACUGCAACCUCCACCUCCCAGGUUCAAUCAAUUCUCCUGCCUCAGCCUCCCGAGUAACUGGGAUUACAGGCACCUGCCACCACGCCCAGCUAAUUUUUUGUAUUUUUAGUAGACACAGGGUUUCACUAUGUUGGCCAGGCUGGUCUCGAACACCUGGCCUCGUGAUCCGCCUGCCUCAGCCUCCCAAAGUGCUAGGAUUACAGGCAUGAGCCACCGCGCUCGGUCUACAAUCACGUUUUAUUAUUGGCUCGUCUAGUCAUGGGAUAGAGAAGGUAAAUAGCAAAAUAGAAAGAAAAGGGGGAAAAGGUAGAAGGCAAGGGGAAAACUAUUGGUUUUAGAUCUUUAUCCUGGUCCUGUCAAUGAUCAGGUAAUUGGAAGGAUCAAAAUUAGGCCAAACUUGGUAAUUGGGCCAAAAUUGAACCAAAGUUUGUGUCAAGAAGACCUGGGGCAGAGAUAUGUGACUAAAUCAUUUGGAAUAUGCCCAGACCCCAAGAAUAUUUAUGCCCAACUUGAAUGCUAACCAGAAGUCCCUUACUGUAGAAGAUUGUAAGGUUGCUAUUUUUUUGCCCCGACACCAAAAUAUUGAUGUAUUUUCCAACACCAAUUCUCCAAUUCUCUGACACCAACUCGAUGUUCAACAAUUCAGUUAUAUUCUGUCACUAAUUCCUGCAGCUAUCAGCAGGCCCCACAGGUAAAGGAUUCAGUCUCACAAGAUUGCCCCCCCACCCACUUCAGUUGCCAGCUACAAUGGGGUGCUCAGACCAUCCACACUUCUGCCUAGCUGACUGCAGAUUUAGGGAUUCCCAUGACUCUUUUCUCAGUUUUGGUAAUUUGCUAAAACUGCUCACAAAACUCAGGUAGACAUUUUACUUAACAUUUCCCAGUUUAUUAUAAAGGCUACAACUCAGAGACAGACAAAUGAAAGCAAUGCAUAGAGCAGGGUAUGUCGAGUAGUUGGUGGCACAGAACUUCCAGGCCCUCUCUAGGCAUACCACCCUCGCGGCACCUCCGUGUGUUCACUGACCCCGAAACUCAUUGCAUACCAUUCAGGAGGCUUUAUAACCCAUUUCCAGGCCCCUUCCAUCCGUGGGAGGCCAGUGGGUGAGGCUAAGAGUUCCCACCCUCUUUAGUCUUUCUAGUGACCAGAGGCUAGUUAGAACCACCCUAAGUCACUGCAGUAACAUAAACUCAGGUGUAGUACUAGAUAUGGUGGAAGAUGGCAUGUUAUGAGUAAAAGCAGAAACUCCCCUCACUCAGGAAAUUCCCAGGGUUUUAGGAGCCCUGUGCCAGGAAUAGAGUACAAAAAUCAAAUAGGUUUGUGUAUAUCACAGAAAUAUUCCAGGUAAACUGGAUGACUGUUUAGUCCAUUUGUGCUGCUGGAAUACAAUACCCGAGACGGGGUAAUCCAUAAAGAAUAGACAUUUAUUUCUCACAGUUUUGGAGGCUGUCUGAUGGGGGCCUGGUCUCCGCUUACAAGAUGGCACCUUGAACACUGCAUCCUACAGAGGGAGGAACAGUUUUCUUCACAUGGCCAAAGAAUUGUUGGGGGUGGGGACCAAACUGGCCUUUGUAUAAUGAACCCACUCCCACAAUAAUGGUAUUAACUCAUUCACAAGGGCAGAGUCCUCUUGGCCCAAUCACCACAUAAAGGGGCUACCUCUUGGCUGGGCGAGGUGGCUCACGCCUGUAAUCCCAGCAAUUUGGGAGGCCAAGGUGGGCAGAUCACGAGGUCAGGAGAUUGAGACCAUCCUGGCUAACACAGUGAAACCCCGUCUCUGCUAAAAAUAGCAAAAAAAAAAAAAAAAAAGCCAGGCGUGGUGGCAGGCACGUGUAGUCCCAGCUACCUGGGAGGCUGAGGCAGGAGAAUGGCGUAAACCUGGGAGGCGGAGCUUGCAGUGAGCCGAGAUUGCGCCACUGCACUCCAGCCUGGGCGACAGAGCGAGACUCCGUCUCAAAAAAAAAACAAAAAACAAAACAACAACAAGAAAAGGGCCACCUUUUAAUACUAUUACAAUGGCAGUAAGUUUCCAACACAUAGGCUUGCAGGGAACACAUUCAAACCAUUGCAAUGACCAAAUUAUAAGAAGAUUCUUCUGCUUUCUUGGACUCAAAAACAUGGACAUUUAUUUAUAAAUCACACCUGGCCAUCACCGAGUCCCCAGUUUGCCAACAAGAUAAUUCAAUCUGUAGCCCCCAACUUGGCAUCACAUCUCACCUCAGGAUGCACUUGUGAGAUGUUGUGUUGGGUUGUGCUCCACUGGGGAGCAGGGGGGUGCUCAAUCUGAAGGCUCACAAGCAAUGCACAACCAUGUUUGGUUAGAAACCUCUUGGGAAUAUUUGUAUGGAAAGAAGGUUCUAGAUGUGUUUUGGCAAGGCAAGGGUUUUCCCAACUUCAGUCUUCACCCUGUGAGAUUCUCGGGCUGCCAGUCCAGGGGUCUUUGUUCCUGGACCACAGGAGGUGAUAAUGCAAAUUAGAAUAAGAACAGCUGUUUGGUUUUUUUUGCAGGAAAGUGAAUCUUGAGUAGAGACACCCAGAGAUGGAAGGCAGAUAGAAUCACAGCAACCUUAGGUGACAGUAUAAGAAUUCUCGUUCCUGAGAAUUUUGGGUUUCUGUGGCUCUCUCCCCUUGGCUUGAUUGUUCAGAUUGACCAACAAUUUCAUGAGUUACUUACUACUGCUCCAGUGAGUUUCUUUUGUGCUCCAGUUAGGCCAAGGUUAAUACCUGCACCAAAUAACCAUAAUUGAUACUUUUUUCUGUUGUAUUGAAGUUAAUCAUUUAUAUGUUAGUCUUAACAUAUAAGGUUGUGUAUAUCCUGAGGGCAAGAUCAGGUCCUGUUCCUUUUUGUCUCUCCAGGGCCUGCACAAUGCUUGGCUUGUAGAAGGUACUGAAUAGCUCCUAAUUGUAUUAAUGGAUACGAUUUUUCUUUGUCUGAUCUUUGGCAAAUUCAUUUGUCUAUUACUUAAGUGGAUAUCUCUGUCCCCACCUACACUUUUCCUUCUGGUGCUACUUGGGAUCUUAAAUAGCCACAGAAAACCAAGUGAGAAGAGUGAGUGUGCUCUGAGGAUGGUUUUGAGGGACUCUUAUGAGGAUUAUAGUAAAAUAAUUUUAUGUUAUUUAUUCUCACUAUCCAGAUACCUUUUACUCUAAAUUUCUGCCAGCAUGCUGAUUUGUUGAGAUUUGCAACACUAGAAUUUUCCAGCAGAGCAGAGUAUUGCUAGAACUUGUAUCUCAAGCUUCUCUAGAACUGGCAACCUCCUUGGAGUGGCUCUUGAAGGCAAUGCCCUUUUCCCAGGUAGUGGCAAUGGGAAAUCACUUUUCUGAGUGUCGUGGACACAGGUGGGAAGCCUUCGAUUUCAGCCUAGGGUCAUCUCUUCUAUUCCAGGAAAUGUUGGCUGUUUUCCACUUAAACUUGUUCAUGCUUUUCAGGUCCCAGCUGUAGUCUUCAGAGAUAUUUGAAAAUUAGCUGGUCUAAAACAUGAUUCUGGCAACCAGUGAAAUGAUAAAGUAGAAACUAUUUAUAAAAACAAUACUUAAAUUACGUAUUUCAAAUAUGUAAAUUUAUUUGCUCUUUUAAAUUUUAUUUGUCCUUAGUGCUUUUUAAUCCAAAUCCAUUUUAAACUCCACUGUUAUAUUCCAACUUAUGUAGCAUUAUUCUGUGCUGUAGUUACACAUAAUAAAUUAGUUACUGUCAGUUUACUUCAUUAUGCUUUAGUGGUUUACUCUUUCUGAGAAUUCAAUGAAGGUUUACUUUCUAACAAUACCUACUAAAAUAUUACCAAAGUGAAGAGUAUCACCAAGGAGUAAGGAAUAACAGAGCCACAGGCAGCUCCAAGUCCCGCUUGUAGAGCUCCAGUCUCGGAACGUGGGAUUGCCAGACCUGCCAAGUGGCCCCUUCUGCGUCAGAGAAAAGCAGGCUCAAGGAAAAGGCAGACUUGAGGCCUAGCCUCUUAAUGUCCAUGUGAAAGCAAGAGGCCAGGUGAAGUUUUUGGAGAGGAGUGACUUGAGUACUAUUUUAUAUGAAAUGUUUACUCGGGAGACAGGUUUUUUUUCCCACGAGAUGAGGUGAGGAAGGCGCUUUUGUAUGAACUGAAUUUCAAAUCCUCAGGGCUCAUGGAUAUUUUUCCAUGGAAAAGGAGGUUGAGAAGGGAGUUCCCCAUGGGUGCUACCAGGAUGAAAAUUUGCCUAGAUGUCUUUAGCUGGGGAGAGGGAGUCUGAGAGUUAGUUACGCCCUGUGUGUGUGUGUGUGUGUGUGUGUGUGUGUGUGUGUGUGUAUGUAUGUGAUGGAGUCUCACUCUUUGUCCAGGCUGGAGUGCAGCAGCGCAAUCUCAGCUCACUGCAACCUCUGCCUCCUGGGUUCAAGUGAUUCUCCCGCCUCAGCUUCCCAAGUAGCUGAGAUUACAGGUGCCUGCCACAACACCCAGCUAAUUUUUGUACUUUUAGUAGAGACAGGGUUUUGCUAUAUUGGCCAGGCUGGUCUCAAACUCCUGAUGUCAAGUGGUCCACCUGCCUUGGCCUCCCAAACUGCUGGUGUGUCCGGAAUUGGUGGGUUCUUGGUCUCACUGACUUCAAGAAUGAAGCUGUGGACCCUCGUGGUGAGUGUUACAGCUCUUAAGGUGGCACGUCUGGAGUUUGUUCCUUCUGAUGUUCGGAUGUGUUCGGAGUUUGUUCCUUCUGGUGGGUUCGUGGUCUCGCUGGCUCAGGAGUGAAGCUGCAGACCUUCCAGGUGAGUGUUAACAGCUCUUAAGGCGGCACGUCUGGAGUUGUUCGUUCCUCCCGGUGGGCUCGUGGUCUCGCUGGCUUCAGGAGUGAAGCUGCAGACCUUGGCGGUGAGUGUUACAGCUCAUAAAAGCAGUGUGGACCCAAAGAGUGAGCAGUAGCAAGAUUUAUUGCAAAGAGCGAAAGAACAAAGCUUCCACAGUGUGGAAGGGGACCCAAGUGGUUUGCUACUGCUGGCUCCCGCAGCCUGCUUUUAUUCUCUUAUCUGGCCCCACCCACAUCCUGCUGAUUGGUAGAGCCCAGUGGUCUGUUUUGACAGGGCACUGAUUGGUGCGUUUACAAUCCCUGAGCUAGACACAAAGGUUCUCCACCUCCCCACCGGAUUAGCUAGAUAUAGAGUGUGGACACAAAGGGUCUCCAAGGCCCCACCAGAGUAGCUAGAUACAGAGUGUCGAUUGGUGCGUUCACAAACCCUGAGCUAGACACAGGGUGCUGAUUGGUGUGUUUACAAACCUUGAGCUAGGUACAGAGUGCCGAUUGGUGUAUUUACAAUCCCUGAGCUAGACAAAAGGUUCGCCACGUCCCCACCAGACUCAACCCAGCUGGCUUCACCCACUGGAUCGCGCACUGGGGCUGCAGGUGAAGCUGCCUGCCAGUCCUGCGCCCUGCGCCCGCUCUCCUCAGCCCUUGGGUGGUCGAUGGGACUGGGUGCCGUGGAGCAGGGGGCGGCACUUAUCGGGGAGACUCGGGCCCCACAGGAGCCCAUGGAGGGGGUGGGAGGCUCAGGCAUGGCGGGCUGCAGGUCCGGAGCCCUGCCCCGCGGGAAGGCAGCUAAGGCCCGGUGAGAAAUCGAGCGCAGCGCCGGUGGGCUGGCACUGCUGGGGACGCAGUACACCCUCCGCAGCCGCUGGCCCGGGUGCUAAGCCCCUCAUUGCCCAGGGCCGGCAGGGGCGGCCGGCAGCUGCGAGUGCAGGGCCCGCCAAGACCACGCCCACCCGGAACUCCAGCUGGCCUGUGGCGCGCAGCCCCAGUUCCCACCCGCGCCUCUCCCUCCACACCUCCCUGCAAGCUGAGGGAGCGGGCUCCGGCCUUGGCCAGCCCAGAAAGGGACUCCCACAGUGCAGCAGUGGGCUGAAGUGCUCCUCAAGUGCCGCCAAAGUGGGAGCCCAGGCAGAAGAGGCGCCCAGAGCGAGAGAGGGCUGUGAGGACUGCCAGCACACUGUCACCUCUCACUGGGAUUACAGGCGUGAGCCACUGCGCCUGAUCAGUUAUGCUGUAAAGAUUGAGAAAGUCUUGACCUGUUUCAUACUGCUAUAACAAAAUACCUGACACUGGGAAAUCUAUAAAGAACAGAAAUUUAUUGCAGUUCUGGAGGCUGGGGCAUCCAAGAUCAAGGCACCAGCAUCUGAUGAGAGCCUUGCUGCGUUCUCACGUGGCAGAAGAUAGAAGGGCAAAAGGGCAAAAACUCUCCUCACAUUGCAGAAGAGCAGAAUAGAGAGAACGCACUUCUGCAAGUCCUUUUUAGAACCACAUUAAUCUGUUCAUGAGGGCAGAGCCCUCAUGACCUAAGCACCUCCCAUUUAGGCUUCACCCGUCAACACUGCUGCACUGGGAUUAAUUUUCCAACUCCUGAAUUUUGGCGGACACAUUCACACCAUAGCAAACGAUCAUGAAGCCUCAACCCUAGUAUGUGCCAGAACCACCCAAAGGAUUUGUUACAAAUGCAGGUUCCUGGGGACCGCCCCCGAGGGAUUCUGAUUUAACAGAACCUGAAAACCCGCAUUCUUAAUAAGCACCCCAUGUGAUUUCGGGUUGUGGAUGUUCACUGGAUCACACUUUGAGAAAUGUCAUGACUGUGACUUUAACAGACUUAAGGUUUGUCCUCAAGAUUUUGUCUUGCAAACCUUUUGUUAGCCUUGGAAUAUAGUCAACAGCGAUCGAGAAGGGAAAUGAGGAGAUCCACAGGUUCCCUCUCCAACAUUAAUGUCCAUGUCAACUAGUAAAGCUUUGCAUACUGCCCCUGAACUCUUUGCCCUGAUGCUGGUUCUUCCUGAUUUCUGAGGACAGAUGGAAAUCCUGACAAAAGUGAGAAUGAGGACUGGAAACAGCAGAUAGGAUGAUAUGCAUUCCUGGUCACUACUUGUUGUCCUCCACAGCCCUUGGCCUCAGUGCUAGCUGUCUUCCUGCCAACAGGAUGAUACAACCAACAAGUAGAAAUGCUUGCGUGGCCUCUAAUGAAUUUUCAACAACAUGAUACAGAUCAAAAGCUCUUCUGUACACUGAUCAUGUGGGUGAGUUCAGAUUACACGUGGUUGCAUUUUAAUUCACUAAAUUGAAAAUUACAUUUUAUCUUUUGAAAUAUUUGUUCCCUUCAGUGAGUCAUUCUAAUAAAUGUAACCUGAAGGCCAACCGAUCCUUUCCUAAUUUAGACGACUUAGAAGGUUUAGCCAAUGUUGUUAAUGUACUUCUUUUGAGGCAGUGUUCCCUCCAAGUUCAAGGAGAAAUGAAGAAAAAUAUAUCUUUUGAAAAUAAGGUCUGGGGCGCCGUGGCUCAUGACUAUAAUCCCAGCACUUCAGGAGGUUGAGGUGAGAGGAUAGUUUGAACUCAGAAGGUCAAAACCAGCCUGAGCAACAUGGUGAAAUCUUGUCUCUAAUUAAAAAAAAAAUUAGCCAGGCAUGGUAGCAUGCACCUGUAGUCUCAGCAACUUGGGAGGCUGAGGCGGGACAAUCACUUGAGCUCAGGAGGUUGAGGCUGCAGUGAGCUAUGAUCAUGCCACUGCACUCCAGCCUGAGCAACAGAGUGAGACUCUGUCUUAAAAUAAAAAAAUAAGAAAAAGAAAAGAAAACAUAACACAUUUUUUUAAAAUCAGGAAGAUGUAAUGUAAAAGAAACACAUCAAUAAACUUAUUUUAGGAAUCAAAGUGACUUCAAGUGGGAAGUCUCUAACCCUACCAGCAAUGAGUCAUGUGUGCCAUGUUUGUACCAGAUUAUUUCUUCAAUGACAUUUAAAAUUAAAAGCAUUACCUGUGAAUACAA